rnacentral:rRNA from 1 species
CAGCCGCCGCGGUAACACGGAGGGUGCAAGCGUUAAUCGGAAUUACUGGGCGUAAAGCGCACGCAGGCGGUUUGUUAAGUCAGAUGUGAAAUCCCCAGGCUCAACCUGGGAACUGCAUCUGAUACUGGCAAGCUUGAGUCUCGUAGAGGGGGGUAGAAUUCCAGGUGUAGCGGUGAAAUGCGUAGAGAUCUGGAGGAAUACCGGUGGCGAAGGCGGCCCCCUGGACGAGGACUGACGCUCAGGUGCGAAAGCGUGGGGAGCAAACAGGAUUAGAUACCCGCGUAGUCCCUGUCUCUUAUAC